ensembl:snRNA U6 U6 spliceosomal RNA
GUGUCUGCAUCAACAGCAGUAGAAAAACUGAAAUAACAUAGCAAAGAUUAGCAUGGUCCCUGCACAAGGAUGACACAAUUUAUGAAUUACUUUAUAUACAUUUAA